UGGACAAUGGGGGGAAACCCUGAUCCAGCCAUGCCGCGUGAGUGAUGAAGGCCUUCGGGUUGUAAAGCUCUUUUGGCGGGGACGAUGAUGACGGUACCCGCAGAAUAAGCCCCGGCUAACUUCGUGCCAGCAGCCGCGGUAAGACGAAGGGGGCUAGCGUUGUUCGGAAUUACUGGGCGUAAAGCGUGUGUAGUGGUGUCGAUUGGGUGUGAAA
rnacentral:rRNA from 1 species